rnacentral:rRNA from 1 species
AACAAGGUUGCCGUAGGUAAACCUGCGGAAGGAUCAUUA